rnacentral:rRNA from 1 species
GGCGGCGAGUGGCGAACGGGUGAGUAAUAUAUCGGAACGUGCCCAUUAGUGGGGGAUAGCCCGGCGAAAGCCGGAUUAAUACCGCAUACGACCUGAGGGUGAAAGCGGGGGAUCGCAAGAUCCUCGCGCUAUUGGAGCGGCCGAUAUCAGAUUAGCUAGUUGGUGGGGUAAAAGCCUACCAAGGCAACGAUCUGUAGUUGGUCUGAGAGGACGACCAGCCACACUGGGACUGAGACACGGCCCAGACUCCUACGGGAGGCAGCAGUGGGGAAUUUUGGACAAUGGGCGCAAGCCUGAUCCAGCAAUGCCGCGUGCAGGAAGAAGGCCUUCGGGUUGUAAACUGCUUUUGUCAGGGAAGAAAUCCUUUGGGUUAAUACCUCGAAGGGAUGACGGUACCUGAAGAAUAAGCACCGGCUAACUACGUGCCAGCAGCCGCGGUAAUACGUAGGGUGCGAGCGUUAAUCGGAAUUACUGGGCGUAAAGCGUGCGCAGGCGGCUUUGCAAGACAGAGGUGAAAUCCCCGGGCUCAACCUGGGAACUGCCUUUGUGACUGCAAGGCUAGAGUACGGCAGAGGGGGAUGGAAUUCCGCGUGUAGCAGUGAAAUGCGUAGAUAUGCGGAGGAACACCGAUGGCGAAGGCAAUCCCCUGGGCCUGUACUGACGCUCAUGCACGAAAGCGUGGGGAGCAAACAGAGAUUAAGAUACCCUGGUAGUCCACGCCCUAAACGAUGUCAACUGGUUGUUGGACGCUUGCUGUUCAGUAACGAAGCUAACGCGUGAAGUUGCCGCUUGGGGAGUCGCCGCAAAGGG